AUGAAGCGCCUCCUCAGACGGCUCUCCCGGGUGGCCGCGGCCGACGCAUGCGCCGCCGCCGCGUAUCAGCCGCUCCGGCCCGACGCGGCCGCGAAGGCCUCCUCCUCGUCGUUCUACGGCGCGCGGAGGCUUGGCCGCGGCGCGCGCGUGCCGGAGGGGCACGUGCCGGUGUGCGUCGGCGAGGAGGGCGGCCCCAUCGAGCGCUUCGCCGUGCGGGCCGAGCUCCUGGGCCAGCCGGCGUUCAAGGCCCUGCUCCGGCGCGCCGCGCAGGAGUACGGCUACGGCCACCCGGGCGCGCUCCGCAUCCCCUGCGCCGUGGCCAACUUCCGCCGCCUCCUCCUCGGCCUCUCCGACCCCGGCUGCCAGGCCACUGACGACGACGACGCCGCGUUCUACUACUAG
rnacentral:rRNA from 1 species